rnacentral:rRNA from 1 species
AUGAUCGCCGCUUCUCUUCCACCUCAUUUUUGGGCCGAGGCUAUAUUUACCUCCACCUAUCUCAUCAACCUUCAGCCUUCCGCUGCUCUGCAGGGUGGUGUUCUUUUCAAGCGUUUUUUUGACCGUUAUCCUGAUUAUUCGACGCUUCGCUUGUUUGGUUGUGUUUGCUAUGUUCUUCUUGCCCCUCGCGAACGCACCAAACUGACCGCUCAGUCUGUUGAGUGUGUUUUCUUAGGCUAUAGUGAUGAGCAUAAGGGCUAUCGUUGUUGGGAUCCUAUCGGUCGUCGGAUGCGUAUUUCUCGGGAUGUGACUUUUGAUGAGUCUCGUCCCUUCUACCCGCGUCCGUCUUCCUUGACCUUUUCUGUGGAGGAUAUCUCUUUUCUCACUUUUCCCGACACACCUAUCACUGCAGUUGAGCCCUUGUCUCUCCGUCCUGCUCACUCUACUUCUCCACCUCUUGCCGAUUUGCCGCCACCAUCUCCCACAAUUUCCUCACCUCGUAUGUCACCAGAUUUUGCACCUUCAUCCUCAGUGAUUUCUUCGUCUCCACCUCUUGAUUCUACCUCGGCUAUUCCUCCUCUUUUCUUCCAUCUUUUCCUCAGUAUUACACUCAUCGUUCACGUAAUGUGGAUGCAUCUGCUGACGUGUCGUCCUUCUCGUCUCAGCCUACCUAUGGCUUGCGUCCUCGUCCGCUUCCGCCUGUUGAUCGCCUUGGUUUUUCAACCGCUGGUGCUGCUGUUCUUGAGCCGACUUCUUAUCGUGAGGCUGUUGUUCAUCCUGAAUGGCAGUUUACGAUGGCAGAGGAGAUUGCUGCUCUUGAACGCACUGGUACAUGGGAUCUUAUUUCUCUUCCUCCAGGUGUCCGUCCCAUCACUUGUAAGUGGGUCUACAAGGUUAAGACUUGCUCCGAUGGUUUUCUUGAGCGUUACAAAGCUCGUCUUGUGGUUCGUGGUUUUCAGCAGGAGCAUGGUCGUGAUUAUGAUGAGACAUUUGCUCCUGUGGCCUAUAUGA